UGCAUGUGUAGGUNUAACCUGUAUACCGGUAAACUGCGAAUGGCUCGGUAAAUCAGUUAUAGUUUAUUUGAUAGUGCAACCUACUCGGAUAACCGUAGUAACACUAGAGCUAAUACGUGCGUAAAUCCCGACUUUCGGAAGGGACGUAUUUAUUAGAUUGAUGGCUAACCGGGCUUGCCCGACCAGCGGUGAAUCAUGGUAACUUGACGGAUUGCAUGGCCCCAGUGCCGGCGACGUGUCAUUCAAGUUUCUGCCCCAUCAGGUUUCGACUGUAGUGUAUUGGACUACAGUGCCUAUAACGGGUAGCGGAGGAUUAGGGUUCGAUUCCGGAGAGGGAGCCUGANAAACGGCUACCACAUCCAAGGAAGGCAGCAGGCGCGCAAAUUACCCAAUCCCAAUUCAGGGAGGUAGUGACAAGAAAUAACAAUGCGGAGCUUUUUGUUCUGCAAUUGAAAUGAGAACAAUUUAAACCACUUAACGAGUAUCAAUUGGAGGGCAAGUCUGGUGCCANCAGCCGCGGUAAUUCCAGCUCCAAUAGCGUAUAUGUAAGUUGUUGCGAUUAAAAAGCCCGUANCUGAACCUCGGGCAGCCCUGAUGGUCCGCCUAUGGUGAGUACUGUCGUGGGCUGUCUUUCUGCUACGCGCUGUAUCUCGGCGUUUACUCGCCGGGAACAGAGCUUANCAAGGUUACUUUGAGUAAAAUAGAGUGUUCAAAGCAAGCAUGCGCUCUGAAUACACUANCAUGGGAUAACACGACAUGACCGAUGGUCUAUCUUGUUGGCCUGUANACCCGUUGGUAAUGGCAAAUAGGGACGGCCGGGGGUAUCGGUAUUCCGUUGUC
rnacentral:rRNA from 1 species